CAGCCGCCGCGGUAAUACGUAGGGUGCAAGCGUUAAUCGGAAUUACUGGGCGUAAAGCGUGCGCAGGCGGUCCGCUAAGACAGAUGUGAAAUCCCCGGGCUUAACCUGGGAACUGCAUUUGUGACUGGCGGGCUAGAGUAUGGCAGAGGGGGUAGAAUUCCACAUGUAGCGGUGGAAUGCGUAGAGAUGUGGAGGAAUACCGAUGGCGAAGGCAGCCUCCUGGGAUAACACUGACGUUGAGGCUCGAAAGCGUGGGGAGCAAACAGGAUUAGAUACCCGGGUAGUCCCUGUCUCUUAUACC
rnacentral:rRNA from 1 species